rnacentral:tRNA from 1 species
GCCUGGCUGGCUCAGUCGGUUGAGCGACUGACUUUGGCUCAGGUCAGUAUCUCACGGUUUGUGAGUUCGAGCCCCGUAUCAGGCU